UACGUAGGGGGCAAGCGUUGUCCGGAAUCAUUGGGCGUAAAGAGCGUGUAGGCGGCCCGGUAAGUCCGCUGUAAAAGUCAAAGGCUCAACCUUUGAAUGUCAGUGGAUACUGCCGGGCUAGAGUCCGGAAGAGGCGAGUGGAACUCCUGGUGUAGCGGUGGAAUGCGCAGAUAUCAGGAGGAACACCAAUUGCGAAGGCAGCUCGCUGGGACGUUACUGACGCUGAGACGCGAAAGCGUGGGGAGCAAACAGG
rnacentral:rRNA from 1 species